GUGUAAUACCGCUGGCGGCGUGCCUAAUACAUGCAAGUCGAGCGGACAGAUGGGAGCUUGCUCCCUGAUGUUAGCGGCGGACGGGUGAGUAACACGUGGGUAACCUGCCUGUAAGACUGGGAUAACUCCGGGAAACCGGGGCUAAUACCGGAUGGUUGUUUGAACCGCAUGGUUCAGACAUAAAAGGUGGCUUCGGCUACCACUUACAGAUGGACCCGCGGCGCAUUAGCUAGUUGGUGAGGUAACGGCUCACCAAGGCGACGAUGCGUAGCCGACCUGAGAGGGUGAUCGGCCACACUGGGACUGAGACACGGCCCAGACUCCUACGGGAGGCAGCAGUAGGGAAUCUUCCGCAAUGGACGAAAGUCUGACGGAGCAACGCCGCGUGAGUGAUGAAGGUUUUCGGAUCGUAAAGCUCUGUUGUUAGGGAAGAACAAGUGCCGUUCAAAUAGGGCGGCACCUUGACGGUACCUAACCAGAAAGCCACGGCUAACUACGUGCCAGCAGCCGCGGUAAUACGUAGGUGGCAAGCGUUGUCCGGAAUUAUUGGGCGUAAAGGGCUCGCAGGCGGUUUCUUAAGUCUGAUGUGAAAGCCCCCGGCUCAACCGGGGAGGGUCAUUGGAAACUGGGGAACUUGAGUGCAGAAGAGGAGAGUGGAAUUCCACGUGUAGCGGUGAAAUGCGUAGAGAUGUGGAGGAACACCAGUGGCGAAGGCGACUCUCUGGUCUGUAACUGACGCUGAGGAGCGAA
rnacentral:rRNA from 1 species